rnacentral:rRNA from 1 species
GACGAACGCUGGCGGCGUGCUUAACACAUGCAAGUCGAACGAAGUGGCGAACGGGUGAGUAACGCGUAAUCAACCUGCCCUUCAGCGGGGGAUAACAGUUUGAAACGUCUGCUAAUACCCCAUACUGAAGGAGGGGAUUGCGUCUGAUUAGCUGGUUGGGGGGGUAACGGCCCACCAAGGCGAUCAUCAGUAGCCGGUCUGGAGGGAGGAACGGCCACAGUGGGACUGGGGCACGGCCCAGAACCCUACGGGAGGCAGCAGGGGGGAAUUUUGCGCAAAGGACGGAAGGCUGACGGAGCAAAGCCGCGUGAGGGAAGACGGCCUUCCGGUUGGAAAGCUCUUGUAAUCGGGACGCGGUACCGGAAUAGAAAGCCACGGCUAACUACGUGCCAGCAGCCGCGGUAAUUC